rnacentral:rRNA from 1 species
AUUGAACGCUGGCGGCAUGCCUAAUACAUGCAAGUCGAGCGCGUGGCGGAUGGGCGCGUAAUGUUUGGGGAUCUGCCCGAUAGAGGGGGUUAACUACUGGAAACUGUGGCUAAUACCGCAUACUAUCGUAUGAACCCUUAUGGGAUAAGCUAGUAGGUGGGGUAAAGGCUCACCUAGGCGACGAUCACUAGCUGGUCUGAGAGGAUGACCAGCCACACGGGAACUGAGACACGGCCCAGACUCCUACGAGAGGCAGCAGUGGGGAAUAUUGCACAAUGGGCGAAAGCCGGAUGCAGCAAUGCCGCGUGUAUGAAGAAGGCCUUCGGGUGGUAAAGUACUUUCAGCAGGGAGGCGUUACCCACAGAGAAAGCAACGGCUAACUCCGUGCCAGCAGCCGCGGUAAUAC